AAUCAACGCUGGCGGCGUGCCUCAGACACGCAAGUCGAACGAUUAAAGCCCCUUCGGGGGUGUAUAGAGUGGCGCACGGGUGAGUAACACGUAGGUAAUGUACCGUAGGGUGGGGAAUAACAAUCGGAAGCGAUUGCUAAUACCGCAUAAUGCAGCGGCAUCAAUGAUGACAGUUGUUAAAGGAGCAAUCCGCCUUAUGAGCAGCCUGCGGCAGAUUAGCUAGUUGGUAAGGUAAUGGCUUACCAAGGCUACGAUCUGUAACCGACCUGAGAGGGUGGUCGGUCACACUGACACUGAAUAACGGGUCAGACUCCUACGGGAGGCAGCAGUCGGGAAUUUUGGGCAAUGGGCGAAAGCCUGACCCAGCAACGCCGCGUGAAGGAUGAAGUCUUUCGGGAUGUAAACUUCGUAAGAAUGGGAAGAAUAAAUGACGGUACCAUUUGUAAGGUCCGGCUAACUACGUGCCAGCAGCCGCCGUAA
rnacentral:rRNA from 1 species